rnacentral:lncRNA from 1 species
CUUGUGAUUCGCCCGCCUCAGCCUCCCUGGGAUUACAGGCGCUUUAUGAAUACAGAAACUUCGUCUGGGUCAUUGAUUCAUCCCUGGAACCUAUAAGUGAUGCCAAGAAUAUAGUAUCAGCUCACUGACUACUUUUUAGGAUAGUUGGUUCUCUUCCUUCUCAGUUGUUUCUCCCGACAAAAGUUCCCAGCCUCUAGCAUCAGAGCAGCCUUUGCUGGAGUCAUAGAAGCCAUCACUAGAGAAUACACCAAAUGUAUUCAAUUUGAAGGCAUCAUCACCUCCCUCGGCCAAUCACAGCACUAUUCACAAUAGCAAAGACAUGGACUCAACCUAGC